GAGUCCUGCUGGAGCAGCCGGACUUAAAAAACAUCAAACGUAUUUUUUGAAAGCACACGGGCACCGUGCACGUCUCACACUUUGUCCUUUUUUUAUUUCCGUCUUUCAGUUAAUCUCCUCGACUCCCCCAUUUCUCUUCUCCUCGCUCCUCGCUUCCUUUCUGCCUCCCCUUCUUCCACUAAUCUCUGUCCAUCGUUCUUCCUCGCUUCCCCGCCUUGCAUCCAUCUGUCUUACCCGCUUUCAUCUAUCUGUCCGUCCCCCCCCCCACCGAAUGUCUGUUCUGUUGCUUUACAACCUCGCAGCAAAGCGUUCAGCCUUCCUCCUGCUGUCUCCGUGGCCUGUCCUCAUGACUACUCAUUGCCCCCUCAUCUUUUUCUCUCCACUCUCUUCCUCCCCCAGCUCCCAUCCUCCUCGCGUCUCUUUUCACCUUCUAUUCUCUCAUCCUCCAUUUGCGUUUGUCUUCGUCCAUCCUCGCGUCUCUCUGUCUGACUGACUCCUGACAUGUCCGAGCGUCUCCCUCCCAGUGUGUCUCCGUCCCUUCCCGUCCCCACUCCUCUCGUCAUCCACCUGUGGCAGCAUCAUCAGCUCAGUGUUGCUGGUAUCCAUGGCGACGUCGACGGGCCUCUUGUCGAAACUUGCUGUGGCAGUGGCCGUCCGCGGCCUCCCGGUGCAGCGGCGUCAUCUUCAGCGCGUCUUUGGCGUUAACGUUGGCGCCGCUCUGCGUGGACAGGCGGCACCCCCCGGUGGCGAGACAGGGAACCAGCCGCGAAGGAGCCGGGUGACACAAGGGGGAAGAGUGGUUCACACUCGUGUCGUCAUGGAUUAGCCCAAUGAUUAUUCCAUAAUUAACGCGCCAGUCCGUAGUGAACGGAGCCCCGUUGGCCAUCAGGGCUUUGACAUCGUCAUCCCGUCCCCAUCGCACCGCCUCCAGCAGCUGGUAACCCGAGAUACACCAGAGACAUCUGCCGACAGGAAGGAGGAACGCAGCGCUGAGAGUCACACGGGGAACAUGAGCACAGGCUCAACUGGGUGACUGCAUUGUUGUUUGUGUGGAAUGUAAUAAUAUCCAGAAUACACGGUAUUUCAAAAAUGGUGUGUCUUGUUUAGGCAAUGUGUUGCAUGUCAGACGCUCGUGAUCAUCACGCAUGUUCCAGUGUCUUCAUCCAUUUUGAAGAGGAAAAAUACCCCAAGAUUGUGCUUUUUUAACAUUUCUUCAAACAUGACAAUUUUCUACUUCUGUUUCUAUAUUUGUGUAAAUGGUAAUUCUCUUUGUUUGUGACUGUUAGUUGGACAAAAAAAAAGAUAAAUAACGUAUUAUGCACAAAAAGAAAUUCUGUAGCUAUAUGCUAUGUGUUGGCUGGUUACGGUAGAGGCCUUUUGUUAGAGGAUACAGGUGAACUUAAAAACUGAUAAGAUCCUUCGACGACAACUUGUAAGAUGAUAAAUGAAUGAAAAAGGAUGAAUUUUCCUUCCAAAACACAGCAGAGCAGAAUUAUGAAGCAGCACAUAUUGGAUUACUAAUUUGAGUAAAUUGGUCCCACCUUCCUAAUCACUGUUAUUACUCUUCAUGUGUGAGUAAUUACAGUGGUGAGCCAGCUUUAAUGAGGGGAAUAAGAAGAAGAAAUGACCAGAGGUGUCAAAAGUAUUCACAUUCAUUACUCAAUAGAAGUACAUAUACUAGGGUUUAAAAAGACUCCUGUAGAAGUUUGUAGAAUUACCAACUCAAGAUUUUUACUUAAGUAAACGUAUAAAAGUACUGGUUUCAAAACUACUUAAAGUAUAAAAGUAAUGUAAGAA
ensembl:lncRNA